CCUACGGGUGGCAGCAGUGAGGAAUAUUGGUCAAUGGACGCAAGUCUGAACCAGCCAUGCCGCGUGCAUGAUGACGGCCCUAUGAUUUGUAAACUGCUUUUUUACGAGGGUAAAUGCAGAUACGUGUAUCUGUCUGUAUUUACCGUACGAAUAAGGAUCGGCUAACUUCGUGCCAUCAGCCGCGGUAAUAUGGAGGAUUCAAGCGUUAUCCGGAUUUAUUGGGUUUAAAGGGUGCGUAGGCGGUUGGAUAAGUUAGAUGUGAAAUCCCGAGGCUCAACUGUGGAAUUGCAUGUAAUACUGUAGAUCUAGAGAGCAGAUGAGGUAGGCGGAAUGCAUGGUGUAGCGGUGAAAUGCUUAGAGAUAAUGAAGAACACCGAUUGCGAAGGCAGCUUACCAGUCUGUAUCUGACGUUGAGGCGCGAAAGCGUGGGGAGCAAACAGGAUUAGAUACCCCAGUAGUC
rnacentral:rRNA from 1 species